rnacentral:lncRNA from 1 species
CUUUAAAAAUAUCUGAGACAAACAAGGAAAAUAAUGUCCUACCUCACCCUGCCACCACCCCAGAAGACAGAAAAAUUUCCCUGUGCCAGACCAGAGCAGAAAUGGCAGGAAGGGGAAAGAGUGACUGCAUCUAGCAUCCUGGCAGGAGAAUCUAUACAAGGA